CAAGUCGGCUCAUUCGUCUAUAUAUUGAUCGUUAUAGGCCUCUUGAAUCUUCUAUUUACCAUUUUCUUUGGUGUUAGUUAUGUAUAAUGCAGCUUUACUGCUGUUUUCUUUAUUAUUGAUAGGAAUUCUCUUGUUAAGACCCUAUGAAUUGAUUAAAACCUCAGAUUCAUACUAAAAACACGAUGAUUCAAUAAAACACUUUCAAACUAAGUCUAAGUCCCAACAUUCCCUGAGUAAGAACCAUUGGAUCAUCACUUAUUCAAUGAAUAGAUAUAAUGACUAAAAAUCCAAACCAAAGAAACCUUUGUUUUGUUCCUUUGAUCAAAAUAAUCAUAAACGAAAGUUUGAAAGAAUAAAAAUAUUUCUAUUUAUAAUUUCUAACUCUUUGAAAAUAAAAUUUUGAAGUCCGGACACGAGAGGUCUGACUAUUAAGUAUGAAUCAUAGUUCUAAUAGUAAUCUAUUUCAUAUAUUUUGUGCUCCAGAUACUAGAAUGAAUAUUCGACGAAGUAAAACCAUCUCUAUCAAGAUGACAGACCCAUUUCUCUGUACUAUCCUUAGGAUCAUUUAUACCAAGUCACACACUCAUAUUCCUGAAAUACAGAAACAAAGAAAUUCCACGGUCAAACUACCAAAAAAUAGAAUGGGAUAAAAAUCAGAAACCUAAAUGCUUCACUUUGUAUUGAAAAAGCCAGUUAAUGGCUCUUGUGAAUCUAAUUCAUUGAAAUUCUUGAGCAACUUAUGAUCAAGCAUUUUAGGAUGAUAUUCCAGAGUUUUUUAGGAUACCUGUUUAUCUUUGAGAAAGAGAUGAACCAUGAUAUACUUGGCUUUAUUUUUUAUACUGGUG
rnacentral:lncRNA from 1 species